AACGAACGCUGGCGGCAUGCCUAACACAUGCAAGUCGAACGAGACCUUCGGGUCUUGUGGCGCACGGGUGCGUAACGCGUGGGAACCUGCCCUUAGGUUCGGCAUAACUCUCCGAAAGGGGUGCUAAUACCAGAUAAUGUCUUCGGACCAAAGAUUUAUCGCCUUUGGUUGGGCCCGCGUUGGAUUAGCUAGUUGGUAGGGUAAUAGCCUACCAAGGCGACGAUCCAUAGCUGGUCAGAGUGGAUGAUCAGCCACACUGGGACUGAGACACGGCCCAGACUCCUACGGGAGGCAGCAGUAGGGAAUAGUGGACAAUGGGCGAAAGCCUGAUCCAGCAAUGCCGCGUAAGUGAUGAAGGCCUUAGAGUAGUAAAGCUCUUUUAACCGAGAUGAUAAUGACAGGACCGGGAGAAUAAGCUCCGGCUAACUCCGUG
rnacentral:rRNA from 1 species